rnacentral:lncRNA from 1 species
GACAAUUCAGACUUGUCGGGUUGGCUGGAUAACCGACAGAUGAGCCUCAUCAGCCAUAGGACAGGCAUGCAUCAUAUGCAUUUGUAUGCUUUGCUUGGGUUUGAACUUGUUUUGGUUUGCCUAAUUGCUAAACUGUUCUUAACUGCUACUUGAACUAUUUGCUGUAACUGCUACCUACUUGUGCUUUCCUUGUCUGUCUUGCCUGUGUUUGUCCUGGCGUGCUACAUUUGAGGAUGAACUUUAGUGCUG